rnacentral:rRNA from 1 species
CACAGGUGGUCGGGUAGAGAAUACCAAGGCGCUUGAGAGAACUCGGGUGAAGGAACUAGGCAAAAUGGUACCGUAACUUCGGGAGAAGGUACGCUCUUGAUGGUGAAGUCCCUCGCGGAUGGAGCUGACGAGAGUCGCAGAUACCAGGUGGCUGCAACUGUUUAUUAAAAACACAGCACUGUGCAAAAUCGCAAGAUGACGUAUACGGUGUGACGCCUGCCCGGUGCCGGAAGGUUAAUUGAUGGGGUUAGCGCAAGCGAAGCUCUUGAUCGAAGCCCCGGUAAACGGCGGCCGUAACUAUAACGGUCCUAAGGUAGCGAAAUUCCUUGUCGGGUAAGUUCCGACCUGCACGAAUGGCGUAAUGAUGGCCACGCUGUCUCCACCCGAGACUCAGUGAAAUUGAAAUCGCUGUGAAGAUGCAGUGUACCCGCGGCUAGACGGAAAGACCCCGUGAACCUUUACUACAGCUUGGCACUGAACAUUGAACCUACAUGUGUAGGAUAGGUGGGAGGCUAUGAAGACGUGACGCCAGUUGCGUUGGAGCCGUCCUUGAAAUACCACCCUUGUAUGUUUGAUGUUCUAACUUAGACCCGUUAUCCGGGUUGAGGACAGUGCCUGGUGGGUAGUUUGACUGGGGCGGUCUCCUCCCAAAGAGUAACGGAGGAGCACGAAGGUGGGCUAAUCACGGUUGGACAUCGUGAGGUUAGUGCAAUGGCAUAAGCCCGCUUAACUGCGAGAAUGACGGUUCGAGCAGGUGCGAAAGCAGGUCAUAGUGAUCCGGUGGUUCUGUAUGGAAGGGCCAUCGCUCAACGGAUAAAAGGUACUCCGGGGAUAACAGGCUGAUACCGCCCAAGAGUUCAUAUCGACGGCGGUGUUUGGCACCUCGAUGUCGGCUCAUCACAUCCUGGGGCUGAAGUCGGUCCCAAGGGUAUGGCUGUUCGCCAUUUAAAGUGGUACGCGAGCUGGGUUUAGAACGUCGUGAGACAGUUCGGUCCCUAUCUGCCGUGGGCGUUGGAAGAUUGAAGGGGGCUGCUCCUAGUACGAGAGGACCGGAGUGGACGAACCUCUGGUGUUCGGGUUGUGUCGCCAGACGCAUUGCCCGGUAGCUAAGUUCGGAAUUGAUAAGCGCUGAAAGCAUCUAAGCGCGAAGCGAGCCCUGAGAUGAGUCUUCCCUGAUACUUUAAGUAUCCUAAAGGGUUGUUCGAGACUAGAACGUUGAUAGGCAGGGUGUGUAAGCGUUGUGAGGCGUUGAGCUAACCUGUACUAAUUGCCCGUGAGGCUUAACCAUACAACACCCAAGGGGUUUUGUA